rnacentral:rRNA from 1 species
CGGGGGAGCAAGCGUUGUUCGGAUUUACUGGGCGUAAAGGGCGCGUAGGCGGCCACCGCAAGUCAGUUGUGAAAUCUCUGGGCUUAACCCAGAAAGGUCAACUGAUACUGCGGGGCUAGAGUGCAGAAGGGGCAACUGGAAUUCUCGGUGUAGCGGUGAAAUGCGUAGAUAUCGAGAGGAACACCUGCGGCGAAGGCGGGUUGCUGGGCUGACACUGACGCUGAGGCGCGAAAGCUAGGGGAGCGAACGGGAUUAGAUACCCCGGUAGUCCUAGCCUUAAACGAUGAAUGCUUGGUGUCUGGGGUUUUUAUAGUCCCCGGGUGCCGUCGCUAACGCUUUAAGCAUUCCGCCUGGGGAGUACGGUCGCAAGACUG